GCCAACCUAUUUUCGUGGUUCAGAUUGGUUUGUGGUUAUUUUGGUAUGCACCCAUCUUGGGUGCAUUCCUUUGCUAAAUGCUGGUGAUUCUAGUGGUUGGUUUUACCCCUGCCAUGGCUCUAAGAUCUAGCGCAAUGCUUAUUUUGCAUCAGUUACACAACCGUUGUAAUAGAUCGUUGAACUGUGGUAUGAUCUCAACACCCGUCACUACAGAGGUUCUAUGGCAAUAGAGUUUUAUAGUCGUCACAAUGGAGGAUUUAUGGCAACGGUUAAUUUAUGAAAAAAUAUUGUACUUGCAAUUUAUAUCCCAAAAAUAUAUUUUCCUCCAGUAAUUUAGAGUACCCGGUAAUUUUUUUCAUUCCAAUUAAUUAAAAAAGUACUAAAAGAAACUCUUUUUGAAUUUUCCCAAAAUCCAAAGGUCAUCUUCGUUAGUGAAGAGAACCAAAUCCUCUGAAAGAGAAACGAGCUUUGACAGUGAACUAUACGACGAGCUCCUAUGAAGACAGUCUUUUUCACCGGAGUUCUUCUACGAUCUCAAAAGUUUUUUCAAUGGUCUUCUCUGAUAGCAUUCUUCUUUCAAGUUUAUAUUCUUGGCCCAUCAGAAGUUUUCAGAUAGUUGUUGUUGUCCCUUGUUGAAUGAAGAGCUAAGUUUGGUCCGCAUCUCAUCUCCAAAGCCGCUGAAGAGUCGUCAAAAUUGCCGGAAAGUUGCCAAGAAAUCCACCGCCUGUUGUUCCUCGGUCGCUGGUGAUCUCACCAUGUAGGGAUCAGUGUUUCUCUUCAAUCUUCUCCACAUAUCUAGCUUCAAUUAGUUUGAAGAUUGCUUGUGGCGAGUUCCAAUGUUUCGGGAAUAACAUCCUUUUUAUUCUAUCUUAUGCUAUGUACAACAUUAAGACUUCUAUUAUCGCAUUUCUUGACACUUAUUUCGAGGGUGAGCUAGGGACAGGUCUUAGCCCCCGCCAAGUCUAUGACUAUAGGUAUGCUUGGACAUAUAUGGAUCAUGAAUAGAGGUUGUAAAUGACUAUUGUUUAUG